ensembl:lncRNA
ACCAUUGCCCUGAAGAUCUGCGCUUUUGACGGGAAGUCAAUCUGAGGUCAGACAAACCAGGUCAGCAGUGCAGACUAGUCCACAAGGCAUGUAGCUGGUUAAAGAGGCAGAAAAUGGAACUAGAGACAAGGGAGUCAGAUUGCAAAACAGAAUUAUGUUCAGAAGAAGAUCUAGGUCACUGUAAAGAGAGCAAAGUGUGAGAGCCAGAGGAGGCAGGAUACCAAGCCAAGGUUUCCGUUCCUACGGAACUGGAUCUGAUAUUACUUUAUUGUUUAUUUAGAAAGUGGCAAUAUGUUGUUAUACAUGGAAAUACUGUGAGAAAUAAACCUGAUGUUAACAUUGAAUGAGUGCUGCCAAGAUAGCCCAUACUACAGUAGGCCAGUUAGCCUGAAAACAUCCUGGACAAAAUAACAAAACAGGUGCACAAUUCACUUUCUUAUGAACUAACAAUUAGGAAUAAAAUUAAUUCUAAUCAACAUUUUACUGGAUUUUGUUCUCUGGAAAAAAAAAAGUGAAAAUCUGUACAGUUUUUGACUAAGUAUUUCAUGACAUUCAAAUUGAAAUUGCAGCAAUGUGCUUUAUCUGUGAUUCAGACCUUAGAGAUAUUUAAGAUAAGUGAGAUGACAGAUUUUUUUAGAUGUACAUAUUCUUUUGCUUUAUAUGGAUGUGUAAUUUUGUCAUUCAUGACAUUUGUGUAAAUGUGAUGUCCAGAUUCUAACUGUUGUGGAAAGGUUCUACAGAAUACAGGACUAAUUUCUGUUCUGUUCACAUGCUGUUUGAUAUCUUUGAAGUAAAUAUCAUACCACAGCUGAUAAUGUUUGCGCAUGGGAGUGUAGGGGUUGUAGAUGACCUCUGAAGACAUCUAGUCCACCCCCACCCCGCUAAUGCAUGUUCCCUACAAUAAGUUACCCAGGAAGGCAUCCAAGUGGGUUUUGAAUAUCUCCAGAGAAGACUCCACAGCCUUUCUGGGCAGCCUUUUCCAGUGCUCAGUAACCCUCAAAGAAGUUUAUCCUCAUGUUUUGACAGAACUUCCUGUGUUCCAGUUUGUGCCCAUUACCCCUUGUUCUGUUGCUGGGCACCGUUGAAAAGAGCCUGGCCUCAUCUACUUGACUGCUGCCCAUUAGAUAUUUGUAAGCAUUGAUAAGAUCCUCGCUCAGUGUCCUCUGAGCUGAGCAGUUCCAGGUAUCUCAGCUUUUCCUUGUAAGGGAAAUGUUCCAGUCAUCAUCAGGAUGACACACAGGCUGACAAAUCAUUAACUAAUAAUGGGUCUAGCACAUUUGUACAGAAUGACCUAGAGCAGUUAUAAUGCUGGACCAUUUCUGAGAAGAAAUGGCUUCAAGCUGCGCCAGGGAAAGUUCAGGCUGGACGUUAGGAAAUACUACUCUGAAAGGGUGGUCAGGCACUGGAAUGGGCUGCCCAGAGAGGUGGUGGAGUUACCGAGCCUGGUGGUGUUCAAAGAGCGUUUGGAUGUUGUGUUGAGGGACAUGGUUUAGUGAGAACCAUUGGUGAAGGGCAAACAAAUGGUUGAACUGGAUGAUCCUGUGGGUCUUUUCCAACCGUAGCGAUUCUAUGAUUCUAUGAUUCUAAGAUGUGUUUUAUUUCAGCCAUACACAAAACUUUAUGUGUGAGAAUAGAGUAUUAUUCAUUGUGUUAUAGUAUGUAACGACUCCAGAAAUGACUGUAUUAAGAAAUGAAUGAAAAUGUGUAAUGUAACGCUGAGGAAAAAAAUUAUGUACAUAUUAUAUAUAUAUAAUUCCGUAUAUGUGAUAUUUAUGUAGGUAAACAAAGAAUAAGUUUAUGAACAGAUAUUUAUUUCUUCUUGAAGUUUUGAUUAGACUACGAUUGAAAUGCUACUUAAAGAGCUAGUGUGGAACUACCAUAAAAGGAAAUUGAAAAUCUACAGUCAGUGUAAAACUAGUCAAAUGUAAAAACAGUCAUAAAAAUGACUGGGGAGAAUUCUCUAAUAAAAAUGGUAAGGAAUGUGAGAGCCAACAGAAGGAGCUGGCUGCAGUGUCCCUAACUUCACCUUGGACAGAUUCUUCAGAAGGCAUUGCACAGCUGGAAUUCAGAGCAAUCCUCUGAUACCACACACUGAGAAGACUAUUGGAACUUACUUAUCUCAGAUGACAAGUUUUAUAUGGAAAAUCAAACUAGAGACUGUAAAUGCCCUCAACGUGAUAUUGUGAAAGAGCCAUGGAAGAAGAGCUUUGCGUUGCCUUGCUUCAGUGAGGGCAUAUGGGCAGUGCCAUGCUUGGAUUGCAGAGCUGGAUCUCCUGUUCCUAUGGCUCCUCAGCACAGCUUUGAAGGUCUGUAUCUGUGUAUCUGCCUCUACUAAUGUGCACCUUACAAAACAGGUACAAACAUUCGUAGCUUAUUAUGCUCUAUUUAAGGCCACACUAAGACACCCAAAAGCCUAGAUUUCAGGGAUGAAGAACAAUAAAGAUAUUGUACAAGUUUGCUCUGGAAUAAGAAUUGUGCUAUGGUCACACCAAUGUGGACUGCCUGAAUAUAAAUAUUAAUUUUCAUACUGAAUUUAACUUCCUCUUCAUAUGUAUGUGUGUGCAUAUGUAUCUAUGUAUAUAUAUGUGUGUUUAUUCACAAGAAUGUAACAGCUUCUAGUGGGUUGAAGCAGGCAGUGGGGUGUUCUCUCUAUUCAUACAUUUCUGCUUUUUAAUAGUGUCUAUUCAGAGCAAUACAAAAGCCUGAUUGAAUGCUGGGAGAAAUUUUGUAUCGUAGAGUCAUUUAAAUGUGGACUGGGGCAUUCUCUGGACAGUUACAUAAAAAUGACAAGUGACCCUCUGUACAAUAGUUGCUUUCAACAUGAUCCAAGGCCAAGGCAGGCUUUUGACAGUUAUAUAAUGCAGAUGGGUUCUGAUCAGCCAACACUAAAAUGUUCAGCACUGCACAAAAUGAGAAUCAUAUUUAUCUAAAAACUGAAACAAACAAACAAACAAAAAACAGACAAAAGUUUUCAUCUUCAGAAUGCCAAUUAAUUCUCCAUGUAAUUAAAUUCAAAUUUAGAAAUCUUUAUUUCAGUCUGAACGCUAAUGGGAAGAUUGGGAAAGGCUUAAGUAUGAAUCUGGGAGUUCGAACUUUGAUGCCUUUUUGUUUGAAUACAUUUUCUGUGCAUUGUACAUGUUUUAUGAAAUGGCAGAUCUAUCUGGGAUAUACAUCUAGCAUAUAUAUGUGGUAUUUUUCUGUGUAUGAUAUGUGUGUUUUUUAUUAAGAAAUAUUUUACUAUGCCUUUAAAAUAACUGUAGAAUAUUUUGGGUACUGAAUUCACUAAUCCAAAUAAUAUAGCUUUUUCACUAGCAUGCUGCCACCUCUGUUUUUCUUGUUGCUUUUUCCACUGCAAAAAUUGUUCCUUAGUGCUUUAUGCUUAUUUGCAAUUCCUUAGGCCAAAACAAUAAUUUCACUGAAAAAAAACAUCAAGAAUCUAUCUGAAAAAAUAAAAUACACAUGCAUCAGUAAACACCACAUUGCAGCAGUGUGCAUUUUCUCUACUCCAAAUGGUAAUAAAGUCUUAAACUACAUGGAAUUGUGGCAUUUCACUGAACUGAAUUUAUACUGCAAAAGCCAAAGGCUUUACAAACAUAUUUUUAAUAUGCUGCAGGGGAGCUAUAUCACAGGCUUGCUAUCUCUACUAUCAUUUUUUCACUGUAACCCAAAGAGAAACCUGUUCCUAUUGAAGGAUAAUUUAUGGUCAUCCUUAAAUUCUUUCUUUUAUUUCCAUGUUGACAACAAGAAUGUUAAUUACUGGCAUACAGGAGUAGUAAUAACUUGAAAUUAAUGAUCCUUUUCUGGUGUCCCUUUUUUGAGAAUAAUUGACCCC